GACGAACGCUGGCGGCGUGCUUAACACAUGCAAGUCGAACGGAAAGGCCCUGCUUUUGUGGGGUGCUCGAGUGGCGACCGGGUGAGUAACACGUGAGUAACCUGCACUUGCCUUUGGGAUAACUUCAGGCAACUGGGGCUAUUCCCAGAUAGGAGCUCCUGCUGCAUGGUGGGGGUUGGAUAGUUUCGGCGGUUGGGGAUGGACUCGCGGCUUAUGAGCUUGUUUGUGGGGUAGUGGCUUACCAAGGCUUUGAAGGGUAGCCGGCCUGGGAGGGUGACCGGCCACACUGGGACUGAAAUACGGCCCAGACUCCUACGGGAGGCAGCAGUGCGGAAUAGUGCACAAUGGGCUGAGCCCAGACGCAGUACCGCCGCGUGGGGUAUGUCGGCCUUCGGUUUGUAUUCCGCUGUCGCCUGUGACGAAGCGUGAGUGACGGUACUGGGUAAAGAAGCACCGGCUAACUACGUG
rnacentral:rRNA from 1 species